CGCAGAUGCAACUCAGAUCUGGCGUUGCUGUGGCUCUGACGUAGGCCAGCAGCUGUAGCUCCAAUUAAAACACCUGGCCUGGGAAACUCCAUAAGCCGCAGGUGCAGCCCUAAAAAAAAAAGAGAAGAAAUUAAAAUUUUAAAAAUUAAUUUUGAAUAGUGUAAAUCUCAGUAGAUAUAACACACAAAAAUGAAAGCUUGCUGGGGGCCUCUAUAAUUUUUUAAGUGUGUCAGUAGCGCCAGAGACCAAAAGUUUGGGGACCGUUCAUGUGACAGGCAGAGCCCUAGGCUUGGAGACCACCUAGACCGGACUUCAAUACCAGCCCCAUUCUUCAUUAGCUGGUUGUGAGCUUUGGGCAAGUUCCUUAAUUUUUCUGAACCUCCGUUUUCUCAUCUGUGACCUGGGAGCCUAGGGGUUCCCAUCGUGACUCAGCAGUAAUAAACCCAACUAGUAUCCAUGAGGAUGUGGGUUUGAUCCCUGGCCUCGCUCAGUGGGUUGGGGAUCCCGUGUGGCUGUGCGCUGUGGUGUAGGUCGCAGAUGUGGCUCGGAUCCAGUGUGGCUGUGGCUGUGGCUGUAGCUGUGGCUGGCGGCUGCAGCUCUGAUUUGACCCCUAGCCUGGGAACUUCCAUAUGCUGCAGGUACAGCCCUUAAAAAACAAACAAACAAACAAACAAAAAAACCAACAGAAAUGGGAGCCUAAUGGCCUCAUCAGAGAGUGACUGUGGGAAUGUCAGCUCACUCCCUGGAACUGUGGUCUGUGGAAGGUGCUGCUGGUCCUGCAGGCGAGCUGGGGGUGGUGUGCAGGUGCUCAUGGGGGACGUGGUGAGUGGACACUGCCACUUGGAGGGGGGAUCCCAGCCUCCCCCACAAGGUAAAUAUGUGAGGAUUGGGAAAGUUGGUCAAAGGAAAGGAAUUCAGUUUGUGAAACAGCUUCAAAGGGGAUCGGAGGCAAUGUGUUUUGCCUUUGAUUAUUUUGAUUGUAAUCACGUGGAGUUUUGUAAACUUCUGGGUAGCGUCUCUCUGUUUCUCUUAUGAAUGGACAGAGAGGCCUUCUCAGGGUGCCCAUAGCUGGCCCUUGAUGGGCUCACUCAGGGGAGAUGGGCACUGUGUCUGCUGGACACACAGCUCUGGAUGUGGCUUCUGACAGGUUCAACGGCCUGAGGGUGCCAAGUGGGAACCAGGCGUUAGUGGCAACCGGAUAUCUGAGGUGGGGCCUCCCUGCCAUGCAGUCCAUCUUGGGGCAGCAAAAUUGCCCCUCCAGCAAAAUUCAGCCUCUCGUGGUGCUGAAUUUCAGCCGUAUGAGAUUUCUUUGGUCCAUGGUUCUGAUUUACCAGAAAGCUACCAAUGUGUGAAAACCAGAAUGACCUGUCACCAGCCCCUAAUGCCUCAGGGUGGCCUUAUUUAUUCGAUAUCAGAUAGCAGGGCUUUGGGGUCACUGGCAGAAGACAGCUAAGUUUUGAAUGUCACAGGCCCUGCUGAGUUUCCAGCCUCUAUGUCCUUGUUCUUCUUUACCCAGGAGCCCCUUGGACCCAGCCCUGGUGUUGGGACUGCUCCUGAGCACUCCUCUUGCAUGUGAAAGCAUGCUAGUUUUUGUACAAGUUGUGUGGCCUUGGCUACCUCAGUUCACGUGUUGGAGCCUCAUUUUUACCAUCUGUAAAAUGGGUACAUACAUGCACACCCGCCCCCCACACACAGUGAGGCCUAUUUUCUAGAAUGGGAAUUCAGCUAAUGACAAUGUUUAUAAAAUGCCUGGCUGUUCCUAGGGGCUCAGCAGAUGAACACAUGGAAGACGUUAUUUAUUUAUUUAUUUGCUUUUUAGGGCUGCACCUGCAGCACAGGGAGGUUCCCAGGCUAGGGGUCGAAUCGGAGCUGUAGCCACUGGCCUACGCCAGAGCCACAGCAACUUGGGAUCCAAGCCGUGUCUGCAACCUACACCACAGCUCACGGCAACGCCGGAUCGUUAACCCACUGAGCAAGGGCAGGGACCGAACCCGCAACUCCAUGGUUUCUAGUCAGAUUCGUUAACCACUGCGCCGCGACGGGAACUCCAGUUAUUGGUUCUUAACUCUCACUUCAGUGAGGAGUCUUCUCCCUGCCCCGGGGCGCCUUCAGUUGUGAGUGUGUGUGUGUGUGUGUGUGUGUGUGUGUGUGUGUGUGUGUGUUGGGGGUGGGGGUGGCAGUCUGGGGA
rnacentral:lncRNA from 1 species